GUUUUGAGUUUGGAAUUCUUCAGGGGUACAGUGUUUUGAGCUUGGAAUUCUUCAGGGGUAAAUGAUUUUGAGUUUGGAAUUCUUCAGGGGUACAGUGUUUUGAAUUUGGAAUUCUUCAGGGGUAAAGGAGUUUGAGUUUGGAAUUCUUCAGGGGUACAGUGUUUUGAGCUUGGAAUUCUUCAGGGGUAAAGGAUUUUGAGUUUGGAAUUCUUCGGGGGUACAGUGUGUUGAGCUUGGAAUUCUUAAGGGGUAAAAGAUUUUGAGUUUGGAAUUCUUCAGGGGUACAGUGUUUUGAGCUUGGAAUUCUUCAGGGGUAAAGGAUUUUGAGUUUGGAAUUCUUCAGGGGUACAGUGUUUUGAGCUUGGAAUUCUUCAGGGGUAAAGGAUUUUGAGUUUGGAAUUCUUCAGGGUUACAGUGUUUUGAGUUUGGAAUUCUUAAGGGGUAAAGGAUUUUGAGUUUGGAAUUCUUCAGGGGUACAGUGUUUUGAGCUUGGAAUUCUUCAGGGGUAAAUGAUUUUGAGUUUGGAAUUCUUCAGGGGUACAGUGUUUUGAAUUUGGAAAUCUUCAGGGGUAAAGGAGUUUGAGUUUGGAAUUCUUCAGGGGUACAGUGUUUUGAGCUUGGAAUUCUUCAGGGGUAAAGUGUUUUGAGCUUGGAAUUCUUCAGGGGUAGGGUGUUUUGAGCUUGGAAUUUUUCAGGGGUAGGGUGUUUUGAGCUUGGAAUUCUUCAGGGGUACAGUGUUUUGAGCUUGGAAUUCUUCAGGGGUAAAGUGUUUUCAGCUUGGAAUUCUUCAGGGGUAAAGUGCUUUGAGCUUGGAAUUCUUCAGGGGUAGGGUGUUU
rnacentral:lncRNA from 1 species